CAGCAGUAGCCGCGGUAAUACAGAGGGUGCGAGCGUUAAUCGGAUUUACUGGGCGUAAAGCGUGCGUAGGCGGCUUCUUAAGUCGGAUGUGAAAUCCCUGAGCUUAACUUAGGAAUUGCAUUCGAUACUGGGAAGCUAGAGUAUGGGAGAGGAUGGUAGAAUUCCAGGUGUAGCGGUGAAAUGCGUAGAGAUCUGGAGGAAUACCGAUGGCGAAGGCAGCCAUCUGGCCUAAUACUGACGCUGAGGUACGAAAGCAUGGGGAGCAAACAGGAUUAGAGACCCCAGUAGUCCCUGUCUCUUAUAC
rnacentral:rRNA from 1 species